GGAGAAUGAAGGCUAAGGAAUCUGAAGAACACUGGACAAAUGAGACAUCUGAAGAAAACGGACAAAUCAUCCAGAAAAAAAUGUCCCAAAACCUACAUUAAGUAACUGAUGGAAGCAGAUGCAGUGAUCCACAACCAAGCACUGGGCUGAGCUCCUGGACUUCAGUUGAAGAAAGGGAGGAGGGAUCACAGCAGCAAGUGAGGUCAAGAUCAUGAUGGAAAAAACCACAGAGGCAGCUGAUCCAAGCUGGAAGUACAUAGUCUUCUUAGGCACUCUCUGAAACAGAAAAGGAAGGAGGAAAGUUAGUGGAAACUUGGGACAUGCUGGAGAUUCAACUCUUCCUGGUACCACUGAAGUGAGAAAGGUGGGAGCCCAACCCUCUUCUUCUCCCAACUACUUCCUCUCUCUCCUUCCUCAUUUUCUCAGGUUUACUCUUGGCAGGCACAGACAAUACAAUGGAACUGAGCUGUUUCUUACAGUAUGGAAGUGAAUAAUGUUUCUUAGCUUGUUCAUCCUUUGGAUCUGAUUUAAAAUAUUCAAGGAUUUAUUUUGAAAGGUGUUCACUGAAAUGCACCCUAACUGGAUGAAAAACUGAAACCAGCCUAAAUGUCUAUUAAAAGAAUGACAAAUAAGGAGAUCAAGGCAGACCAUGCAAUGCAGUAGUAUACAAUGUUAACACAAGAAAAUUCUCAGUACACAAACAGCAACAUAUAACCAAGAACAUCAGUGAAGCAUGCUAUAGGGAGAUCCAUGUAACAUACUUGUAUGAAGCAAUGCAGUUUUAUAAGAAAUGUAGUUAUUUCGAUAAAUAACCUAAAGUACUACACAGAAGGACAUUCAUGUAAAUUUGAAUGCUACGUUUACAUAAUAGCACACAUACAAAAAGUAAUAUUUCUAAAGGGUUGCGAUAGGAUUAAAACUAGUGGCUCCCAGAAACUCAGAAAAAAGAAAGCAUGGGAACUGAGAAAAAUAUAUAACCAUAAUAUUCAACCUUGCACCCUCCUAGAAAGGUACGUUAUGAGGAACUUGGGCACACACAAAUUUAGAAGAAUGUAUUAAAAGUCUGGACAAGGUCAGAGGUAUCUCUAAGGUAUCACUUAGAGACAAUAGAUCUGAACAUCCCUGGUGUGAGUAGGGCAGAAUGUACAGGUUGGAGAUGAGAGAUCAGUGAUAUUGAACACAGGAGACAGGCAACCAAAGAGAGGUUGCUGCUGUACUUCUAAAAACCAACCAAAUUCAACAGACAAUCACUGAGAUAAUAAGAGCUGUGGAGCUAUAUUCCUCAAAGCCAGAAAUACCUUGGAGAGCUUGUCCAUGGUCUGCCUAUAACAACACACAUAUGCCAUCUUAUACUAUCUGAAUGCAAAGAUUAGAAAUGGGCCCAUGGAGGAUGUCUCUCCAGUUAACUACUUUUUGCACUAUGCUUUGAGAAAUACAGAUGGGAAGGAUUUCUAUUUAAUAAUUUGACUAAUACAUGUCACUGACAUCUGGAUUACUGGGAAGAUAAGUUUCAAAAGCAACUCACCAAAGGAAACUGUCUAAAAUAAGGAUGACAGGAUGGAUUUUUCAUAUUUUGUCCUCUACCUAAAGGUAGUCUUUGUUUUUCAUGGCCAAUAUGGGAAGGAUUCCUUUUGUUGCCUGAAAAAGGACCAUGAGAAGGAGGUCUAUGUUGAAACUCAAGAGGAGGAAAGUCAUGCUUCUGGCCUUCUUGUUGGACUGGUCCUUGUGAGUCUUCAGGAAGAGUAGAAGAUUGAUCCUGAAGCCCUUCUGUAGAUGGUUACUACUGUGGAUUAUUUACUUCAUUCUCAACAGCAUCAGAGAACACUUGUUCCUCUCCUGGUGGAGAUUCACUCUGUGGAUCAUUUUCAGCCUCAGGAGCAGCAGAGUCCACUGAGACUGGGCUCUGGCUUUCAGUAUCUGUAUGGGUGGGGACAGAAGAGAAGAGCACAUUGGUGAAAGAAUUUCCUUUUGUUUUCUUUCCCUGACCUGAUCACACAAUCCUUUCUCCCAGAACCUGUCUGCCAACUGCUAACUUCUUCUUCCACACAUCCUUGUCCUUGGCUUUCUAAAUCUACAUCCCAAUGAGACAGAAGAUUUGGUGUUUGUAUCCUGGGACAAGCAUGUGCCCCUACAGCUGAAAAACAUGAAAGUUUGGGGACCCUUAUUUAUCACAUGAGAGGUCCCCAAAGGCAAAAAGGCAGUAAUGCAAAAGAAGAAUACAUUAACAUGAGGAAGGUUUCCUAUUGUGAUCAAGGACACUUUACGAACUCCCUGCAUAUGCAAGGGCUUCUAGCCCUGGUUUCUGAACCCUAGGAUGAAAUUUGACUUAGCUUUUCAAUUUUUUUACAUCUACACACUGAAACCCUGAGAGAAGAGAACAAAAUGGCCACCACCAAAUUCAAUAAUAAAAGUCUGGGGACAAUUUGUCAUUUCUUUUUAAAUCAAAGACAGUUACAUGGUGAAUGGGGAAAACAGCAGAGAGAAAACAGGGAAAGCCAAGUAUUUCUCCAUCUUGUUCAUGAACUGUGUAAUGAUAGACAGGAACACUGAGGAAGAGGGAAGCCACAGACCCUCCCACUACCAGGGGAGGCAGCGUUAAGGCACUUUUGGUUUCUGCCUCAUCUGACAGAGAUCAUUUCUGGAUGGAAAGCAGACAUAUUCAUUCUGCUAUUAUGGAAGCUUGGUCUCUCUAUCAUUCAGCUAACUGAACUCAAUCACAUUCCAAGUAUCAAGGUCGGGGAAUGUGUUUAUAUCUUUAGAGAAACCAAUAUUUAUUCAUUCCAGAGACAGCAAAUAUGGUAAGACAACAUACUGAAACACAGACCAUUGAACAACAUGGAAGGAUGAUGGAUUGGGCUUUACCAGCUGAAACAACAGAAGGAUCCUCUACAAAUGUGGCAUAGGAUGAACUGAAAAUUCAGAUCACAAUCUUUCAGAGCUUACAGAUGUCCUGCAAGAAAAUGUGACUUUCCAGAAUCAAGCUUCUGAGCAUGAAUGAGCUCAUGAGUCAACCUCUGAGACACUCCUGGAAAGGAUCUGGGAUGCAAGAGCAUGUACGGAUUCCCUGUGCUGCCACCCACUAGCUCUAAAUAGAAAACCUUUUAUCCUCCCUGCACAUCUACAAAACAAACAGCUCCCUUUCCCUAAGUAUGCUGCAUAUUUCAGUCACCUUAAGACUAUGUCCCACAGUUUGUUCCUUCAUUAAUUCUUAGAGCUCUCAAGAGGUAAAUCAAGGAGUACACAUGAUACAAAGUAACACAUACUGCCUGAAGCAUACUAAAACUCUGAAUGUAGGCCUGAGUAAAAUAUUUAGAUUGGGCUCCAAUACUUGUACUUAAGUGUCUAGAGCAUUGAAUUUACUCUGUAAUUUUUGAUCUUGAACUCAUCGUGGUGUGUUUAUCUAUAUCAUGUGUCUGGCAUCCACUGUGCAGCAAGAACAGCUGAUCCCAAUAUUCACUCUGAUUAUCAGAAGAUGCUCAAUAAUCUCAACAUUUUUCCAUGCCUCUUUAGAGCUGGACAGCACUUUUCUAAACACAAAUGGGCCAUCUUGUUCCUCUGCUCAAGCCUUUUAUGCCUUCCAGAUUAAAUAUUAAGUAAAAAGAGUAUGUUGUGUGCUGAGGAUAUAACUGUUCUAACCCUUAUCACAGAUAUUCUGUUGGACUGUCUUUCUUCUCACCUGAUUCUGUCCUUUCUCUCCCCCCUUAUCCUCUCUUUUUUUCAUUCUUUCUCUUGAAAGUCUCCAUCUCCCACCCUAUAAGGCUUUGUACCUUCAUUGGGGCUCUGAGCUGAGCUCAGGACCAGCAAGGCCGCUGUGAACAGAACUGCCAGCAUCUUGGAGGAGGCUCUGGAGUUGUUCUCAAGUGUUGUGAUAUUCAAGGCCAUUCCCUUUAUAAAAAGGAGCAUAACAAUGGAAUCUUUGAUCCACAAUUGGAAGACCUAGCUCCAUUAUUUCUCUUUGGGACUAUAGCCCAGCAGGGUGGAGUGUAGAGGAGAUUGUCAACAUAUCCUAUCUGGAAGGAAUAACAUGUAAUGUGGUGAUGUGGUUAAAGGAACAUUGUCUCUUCACAGAAAGUUAAUAUUCCAUUAUGUAUGUACCACAUUUUCAGGCCAUUCAGUAGUUGUACGAUAUAUGUUGUUUCCCUACCUGGCUAUUGUGAAGAGAAUGGCAAUGAACAUGGAUGAGCCAGUAUCUGUGAAUUAGGACGUUGACUCCUUUGAACAUAUGCCGAGGUAUAUGUAUAUGUGAUAUAGCUGGGUCGUAAGAUUAAUGUAUAUUUAGGAUGUCAGAAUUCUCCACCUCUAUUCCCAUAUUGAUUACUCUAGUUUGCACACCCACCAAAGGUGGAUGAGUGAAACGAGAGCCAAAAGGGUAUAUAUAUGAGCAUGUAUCAAUUUAUUAAUGGAUGCUAUGAGAAAAAAGAAUCAUGGUUACAGGAUCAGGUAGAUCUAGUUGCAGAGCCCUUCAAUUUGCCCAGGAAAGAUGGAGAUAGACACAUGUCAGUUCACACUGCAUGACUCAUUCUCCACCACCCAAGGGAGAGCAUGAGUGUUUGCCUCCUCCUAAGAUUUAAGCAGUCAUGUACCCAGAAAAAAAACCACAGACACACACCUCUAUGGGUCCAAGGUCAUUGGCAGAGAUAAUUCCCACAAUACAUGAGGGUUUCCUUUUUCAAGCAUCCCCCCAAUCUUUUGUUGUCAACUUCUUUCUUGAUAUUGGCCAUUCUGAAUGGUGUAAGAGAAAAUAUCAAAGAAUUUUUAUUUUGGAAUUAUAUAACCCUAAGAAUAUUGACAAUUUUUGCAGUACUUGUUAUCCAUUUUAUUUCUUUGUUUUGAACCCUUUCUGUAGGUCCCUUGCCCAUUUUCAUUUGAGCUUUUUGCUUUCUUGAUUGGUUAUUUGAUUGUUCAUUUGCUUUGAGUUCCCUGUGCAUUCUGGAUAUUAAUCUCCUCACAAAAGUAUAGCUGGAAAAGAGUCUCUCUCAACAUGUGACCUUCAUCUUUACUUUAUUAUUUCAUUUGUUGUACAGAUAUUUAGUUUUAUGAGAUCCCAUUCAUCAGUUAUUAUCCUUAAUCCUGUGUGAAGGGAGUCUUAUUCAGAAAGUCUUUUUCUAUGACUGUAUCCUGCAGAUUGCUGCCUAUUUUUUCUUCUGGAAGUUUCAGGAUUUCAGAGUUCACAUAAGAUUUUGAAUCAUUUGGAGUUGAUUUUCUCUACAGGGUGGUAAAUACGGAUCUAAUUUCAUUCUUCUACAUGUAGACAUUGUUUAGACAGCUAUUUGUUGAAGAUACUGUCUUCCCUCCACUAUGUAUUUUUUAUUUUAUUUGGUUUCAUUUUUCUUUAUUAAGAAAUUUUCUACUUACUCUACAAACCACCCACAGAACCCCCUUCAUCCCUCCUCCCACUUCCCAGACCUCUCUCCCAAGUCACUCCACAUCCCCGCAUACCCAAAAUCAAGGUCUCCCACAGAUAGUCAGGAGAAUCAGGUCCAAGCUCCUUCCCACUGUACCAAGGAUGCACAAGGCGUCCACAGUUACCGGAUUCCCAAAAGCAUGCCCAAGCACCAGGGAAGGAUCCCAAUCACCCUGCCUGGGUGCCCCUCAAACAGUUCGAGCCACUAUGUAUUUUUAGGAUCUUUAUCAAAUAUCACAAGGCUGUAACUAGACACAGUCCUGUGUGGGAUUCCUAUUUCAUUCCAUUGACCAUGUGUCUGGUUUUGCUAGUAUCAUGCUGUUUUUAUUAGAAUAGGUGUAUAACACAGCUUUGAAUGUGGUAAUGUAAUCCCUCCAGAAUUAUUUUUUCUCAGAAGUUAUUGACUAUACAGAGUGUUUCUAUGGUUCCACAAAAAUUUUAGGAUUAUUUUUUAUUUCUAUAAAAAUCUCAAGAAUAUUUUGGAUGGGAUUACAUUGAAUCUCUAAAUUGUAUUAGGAUAGUCAUUUUUACAAUAUUAGUUAUAACAAACCAUGAUCCUGAACAAUCUUUCCAUCUUCUAGUGCAUUCCUUAAUGUGUUCUCUUCAGAGAUUUGAAGUUUUCAGUGUAGAAAAUUCACAAAACUUUAGUCAAGUUUCUUCAUAGACAGUUUUUGAUGCUACUGGAAAUGGAAUUAUUUCUAGUUUGCCAUUUCUCAUUGUUUGUUUGUUUGAUUGAUUGUUUGUUUUUUUGUUCACAGUAUAUAGGAAGGAUGUUAUUUUGUUCUAAGUUGAUUUUGUAUCCUGCCACUUUGGUGAAAGUGCUGAUGAUUUCUAGAAGUUUUAGCAGGUAAAUGCAUAGGUCUACAAAAUAUUAUACUGAGUGAGGUAAUCCACACACAGAAAAAGAAAUGCUAGACAUUCUCUUAUGUAUGUGGAUCAUACCUCUGAAUAUUUAGAUAUAAAUAAACCGAACCUGGAGUUACCACAGUAACCAGGGAAGUAAAAAGAUCAAAAGGCAUUAAGGAAGAGAAAGAGUUCUAGAGAGGACAAUGGUAGGAUAAUGGUGCUAUGAGGGGAAACAGAAAAAAUGCGGAGACCAAAGAGGGGUAAAUAACACUAAAUAUAUUGGAAAAUGAUAUGGAAAGCAUAUAUUCUAUUUUUAUUUAAAAUACAUGCAGAAAACAUAAAUGUAUAUGUAUCCAAACAAGUACAUACAUAGUUUAAAUGAAGUUACACCUCUUGGUAGAUAAUGCCUCCACCAAGAGGCAUGGACAACCUAACAAAAACUGAAAGGAGAGCGUGGGAAACUUCCCUUAGAAUAGUGGGUCCAAAAGACCUCCAAACAAUAUCAGCUAUUUCCAUUGUACUGGGUUGCCUUCCAGAACAUGAUGGUAAGAGCCUAUUACAGAUGACACUACAUCUUUUGGAAAUAGGACUUGGAGGAAUCAGGUUUGAAAAUUCUGGAAGCUUCCUGCCUGAAGACUAGCUUCCAUAGCAUCCCAAAAGUUAUGAGAGUGUUGCUAAGGAAGAAAAGAGGUCAAUAGUGUCCCUAGAGAAAUCCAACUAUAUUCUCAAUACUUAGCUUUAUAAACACAGACAACUGUAG